AAGCAACCAAAACAAAGGAGCGCAGCAGGCCUACAGAUCCCAGAGCAGGCAGCCUAACACACAGAGGACGGGAUCUUUUGGACAGGCAUGUGGAGAAAGAGAAAAAUGACCUUGGAGGCACUGUAAGCCUUCAGCCAUUUAAAGGUCAAUCUGUUGAUGUAUCCCCAGCAUCAACAGAGCAACUAUGCAGCGCAGAAAAAGCAAACAAUAAAACAGUAAGAGAACAGGCUAGACUGAUCUCAUAUUCCAGUACUGCUGGUCUGAAUUUCCCUGAUGGGAGGUGGAGGAAGAACACCUGCUUGAGGCUUUGCACUCAGCUCCUGAACUCAAGCAGCACACUGCUAUGGCAUACUGCAAGAAUUCACCACAGCGCUCCUGCUCAGACACUGUGCACACUGCUGUGCAAAGCCCCAGAGCAAACCUGGAUGAAAAUUUGGCUGGGAAUAACAAGAAACAGCAGGCUAAGACUCUAAAACAAUUGAGAGGG